rnacentral:lncRNA from 1 species
GCGGAAGCAAUCGCACUCAAAGACGACCUCAACGCUGCCGGAAUCCAUUGCCAUAGGAGUCUAGCAAGCGCUCAAUCGACGUGGCAAACUGCGCGGCGGCGUGCGGCGUGCGGCGGACUCGAAGAACUGGUUGGCCACUUAUCUUCUCCUUUAGACCUUUAUUAUACAGCUGCCGCAGUACAGUAUAUGAUUCGAUUUUGCAAGCAUCUAAUUGCCAAUUACUUUCAGGCCCCUGCGCUUUCAGAGGCAGAGGACGUUAUCUUCCUGAUUGGCCUUGCGUCUUGUCUGAUUUUCUCCUCGUGGUGUUUGCGUGCUGUUGUUGUGUGGUUUGUGCCUUUCCUUUGUGGCCAGAAGCAGGCCGGCACAUACUG